rnacentral:tRNA from 1 species
GUUCCUGUAGAGCAAUGAUAGCGCGUUGGACUUCUAAUCCAAAGGUCGUGGGUCCGAAUCCCACCUAGGAUG